rnacentral:rRNA from 1 species
AGUCGAGCGAUGAAGUUUCUUCGGAAAUGGAUUAGCGGCGAACGGGUGAGGAACACGUGAAGAAUCUGCCCUCCACUUUGGGAUAACACCGGGAAACCGGUGCUAAUACCGAAUAUUGAAACAUAAGUGGCAUCACUGAGUUUUGAAAGAAUUUCGGUGGAGGAUGACUUCGCGGCCUAUCAGCUAGUUGGUGAGGUAAUGGCUCACCAAGGCAACGACGGGUAGCCGGCCUGAGAGGGCGACCGGCCACACUGGGACUGAGACACGGCCCAGACUCCUACGGGAGGCAGCAGUGGGGAAUAUUGGGCAAUGGAGGAAACUCUGACCCAGCGACGCCGCGUGCGGGAUGAAGGCCUUCGGGUUGUAAACCGCUUUCAGUAGGGAAGAAGCGAAAGUGACGGUACCUACAGAAGAAGCACCGGCUAACUAUGUGCCAGCAGCCGCGGUAAUACAUAGGGUGCAAGCGUUGUCCGGAAUUAUUGGGCGUAAAGAGCUCGUAGGUGGUUUGAUACGUCGGGUGUGAAAUUCAGGGGCUCAACCCCUGACCUGCAUUCGAUACGGUCAAGCUAGAGUUUGGUAGGGGAGACUGGAAUUCCUGGUGUAGCGGUGGAAUGCGCAGAUAUCAGGAGGAACACCGAUGGCGAAGGCAGGUCUCUGGGCCAAUACUGACACUGAGGAGCGAAAGCGUGGGGAGCGAACAGGAUUAGAUACCCUGGUAGUCCACGCCGUANACGGUGGGCGCUAGUUGUGCGAACCUUCCACGGUUUGUGCGACGCAGCUAACGCAUUAAGCGCCCCGCCUGGGGAGUACGAUCGCAAGAUUAAAACUCAA